rnacentral:rRNA from 1 species
UAGGGAAUCUUCCGCAAUGGACGCAAGUCUGACGGAGCAACGCCGCGUGAGUGAAGAAGGAUUUCGGUUCGUAAAACUCUGUUGUUAGAGAAGAACAGCGCAUAGAGUAACUGUUAUGCGUGUGACGGUAUCUAACCAGAAAGCCACGGCUAACUACGUGCCAGCAGCCGCGGUAAUACGUAGGUGGCAAGCGUUGUCCGGAUUUAUUGGGCGUAAAGCGAGCGCAGGCGGUCAAUUAAGUCUGAUGUGAAAGCCCCCGGCUCAACCGGGGAGGGUCAUUGGAAACUGGUUGACUUGAGUGCAGAAGAGGAGAGUGGAAUUCCAUGUGUAGCGGUGAAAUGCGUAGAUAUAUGGAGGAACACCAGUGGCGAAGGCGACUCUCUGGUCUGUAACUGACGCUGAGGCUCGAAAGCGUGGGGAGCAAACAGG